rnacentral:rRNA from 1 species
GUGUCAGCAGCCGCGGUAAUACGAAGGGGGCUAGCGUUGCUCGGAAUCACUGGGCGUAAAGGGCGCGUAGGCGGCCAUUCAAGUCGGGGGUGAAAGCCUGUGGCUCAACCACAGAAUUGCCUUCGAUACUGUUUGGCUUGAGUUUGGUAGAAGUUGGUGGAACUGCGAGUGUAGAGGUGAAAUUCGUAGAUAUUCGCAAGAACACCAGUGGCGAAGGCGGCCGACUGGACCAAUACUGACGCUGAGGCGCGAAAGCGUGGGGAGCAAACAGGAUUAGAAACCCUGGUAGUCC